rnacentral:rRNA from 1 species
CGGAACGGGUGAGUAAUACAUAAGUAACCUGCCCUAGACAGGGGGAUAACUAUUGGAAACGAUAGCUAAGACCGCAUAGGUACGGACACUGCAUGGUGACCGUAUUAAAAGUGCCUCAAAGCACUGGUAGAGGAUGGACUUAUGGCGCAUUAGCUGGUUGGCGGGGUAACGGCCCACCAAGGCGACGAUGCGUAGCCGACCUGAGAGGGUGACCGGCCACACUGGGACUGAGACACGGCCCAAACUCCUACGGGAGGCAGCAUG